CAGAUUGCCACGAAUGUUAAUUCCAAGACGAAACUGGCACAACAACAGCAACAGUGUCUGAAGGCUUGGGCGAAAGAAUGUUGUCAAUGACAGCUGAACAAGUAUAUGAUAUCGCCAGUGUUAAGAAUAAGUUAUUCCUUGUUGCCCAUAUCAAUCAACUACUUACAGAUAAACUCUUCAGAGUUCAGCUAUAAAGGUCAUCAUCUAGAACACCAGACAAAAAUGCAGGUUCUCUAGUUCUUUUAUCAUACACUGAAAAGCCAACCAUGUUUCUACCAGAAGAGUCAACAUCUGCAAGUGGUGCCGAUAGAAUUAUGGAAGAAGAGCCAAUACUUGUAACUGAUGCAAAAGCAAUUAAGAAACGAAAAAGGGAACCAAGUACUCUACCAAAGCCACAAUCAAGAUUGUCGAGGCAGUGAUGUUCGCUCAAACGGUAUGCGAUGUACAGACACAUUUUGACAACAUUUUGCCAGAUCAUACCGAUCUUUUAACAAAGUUUAGAUAUUUGGCCGCCUUAACAAAGUGUUCCACAUUUUUUUUGGUAAAUAGUUGUCAGUAGUGUGUGCCUAUGUUG